rnacentral:tRNA from 1 species
UCCUCGGUAGCUCAAUCGGCAGAGCAAUCGGCUGUUAACCGAUCGGUUCGUGGUUCGAGUCCACGCCGAGGAG